AGAAAAGUAAGCUAAACUUAAGCUAAUGGGUUCAUACCCCAUUUAUAGAGAAAAUCUCUCUUCUCUA
rnacentral:tRNA from 1 species